rnacentral:rRNA from 1 species
UACGGGGGGGGGCAAGCGUUGUUCGGAAUUACUGGGCGUAAAGGGCUCGUAGGCGGCCAACUAAGUCAGACGUGAAAUCCCUCGGCUUAACCGGGGAACUGCGUCUGAUACUGGAUGGCUUGAAUCCGGGAGAGGGAUGCGGAAUUCCAGGUGUAGCGGUGAUAUGCGUAGAUAUCUGGAGGAACACCGGUGGCGAAGGCGGCAUCCUGGAUCGGCAUUGACGCUGAGGAGCGAAAGCCAGGGGAGCAAACGGGG